rnacentral:misc_RNA from 1 species
GUGAAUCAUCAAAUUUUUGAACGCAUAUUGCACUCUCUGGUAUUCCGGAGAGUAUGUCUGUUUGAGGGUAAUUAAAAAGAAUCUUUAACCAAUUUUUUUGGUCAAAGGAUUUGAGUUCUCCGUGUUUAUAGCGGUAGUUUGAAAUAAAUGGUCAAGACUUAUUUUAGUCGAGACGGGUAUUCAUAUUAUUUCUCUUUAUUUUCUUUAUGUGACUAUUAAGCUUUGAUUCAUAUAAAUCUGUUUUGUAUGCGAUCAAUACAA